GUGGGGAAUCUUGCGCAAUGGGCGAAAGCCUGACGCAGCGACGCCGCGUGAGGGAUGAAGGCCCUCGGGUCGUAAACCUCUUUCGGCAGGGAAGAAGCCGCAAGGUGACGGUACCUGCAGAAGAAGCCCCGGCCAACUACGUGCCAGCAGCCGCGGUAAGACGUAGGGGGCGAGCGUUGUCCGGAUUUAUUGGGCGUAAAGCGCGCGCAGGCGGUUCGGAUAGUCGGGUGUGAAAAUCCGGGGCUCAACCCCGGACCUGCAUCCGAUACUUCCGGACUGGAGGCAGGUAGGGGAGAGCGGAAUUCCCGGUGUAGCGGUGAAAUGCGCAGAUAUCGGGAAGAACACCGGUGGCGAAGGCGGCUCUCUGGACCUGUCCUGACGCUCAGGCGCGAAAGCUAGGGGAGCGAACAGGAUUAGAAACCCUAGUAGUCC
rnacentral:rRNA from 1 species